rnacentral:rRNA from 1 species
ACAGCAGCCGCCGCGGUAAUACGGAGGGAGCUAGCGUUGUUCGGAAUUACUGGGCGUAAAGCGCGCGUAGGCGGUUACUCAAGUCAGAGGUGAAAGCCCGGGGCUCAACCCCGGAACUGCCUUUGAAACUAGGUGACUAGAAUCUUGGAGAGGUCAGUGGAAUUCCGAGUGUAGAGGUGAAAUUCGUAGAUAUUCGGAAGAACACCAGUGGCGAAGGCGACUGACUGGACAAGUAUUGACGCUGAGGUGCGAAAGCGUGGGGAGCAAACAGGAUUAGAUACCCGCGUAGUCCCUGUCUCUUAUAC